rnacentral:rRNA from 1 species
CGUAACAAGGUCUCCGUAGGUGAACCUGCGGAGGGAUCAUUACAAGAACGCCCGGGCUACGGCCUGGUUAUUCAUAACCCUUUGUUGUCCGACUCUGUUGCCUCCGGGGCGACCCUGCCUUCGGGCGGGGGCUCCGGGUGGACACUUCAAACUCUUGCGUAACUUUGCAGUCUGAGUAAACUUAAUUAAUAAAUUAAAACUUUUAACAACGGAUCCCUUGGUUCUGGCAUCGAUGAAGAACGCAGCGAAAUGCGAUAAGUAAUGUGAAUUGCAGAAUUCAGUGAAUCAUCGAAUCUUUGAACGCACAUUGCGCCCCCUGGUAUUCCGGGGGGCAUGCCUGUUCGAGCGUCAUUUCACCACUCAAGCCUCGCUUGGUAUUGGGCAACGCGGUCCGCCGCGUGCCUCAAAUCGUCCGGCUGGGUCUUCUGUCCCCUAAGCGUUGUGGAAACUAUUCGCUAAAGGGUGUUCGGGAGGCUACGCCGUAAAACAACCCCAUUUCUAAGGUUGACCUCGGAUCAGGUAGGGAUACCCGCUGAACUUAAGCAUAUCA